GAGUUUGAUCUUGGCUCAGAGUGAACGCUGGCGGCAGGCCUAACACAUGCAAGUCGAACGGCAGCGCAGCAGUAGCAAUACUGUGGGCGGCGAGUGGCGGACGGGUGAGGAAUACAUCGGAAUCUACCUUGUCGUGGGGGAUAACGUAGGGAAACUUACGCUAAUACCGCAUACGACCUACGGGUGAAAGCGGCGGACCGCAAGGCGUCGCGCGAUUGGAUGAGCCGAUGUCCGAUUAGCUAGUUGGCGGGGUAAGAGCCCACCAAGGCGACGAUCGGUAGCUGGUCUGAGAGGAUGAUCAGCCACACUGGAACUGAGACACGGUCCAGACUCCUACGGGAGGCAGCAGUGGGGAAUAUUGGACAAUGGGCGCAAGCCUGAUCCAGCCAUGCCGCGUGUGUGAAGAAGGCCUCGGUUGUAAG
rnacentral:rRNA from 1 species